rnacentral:lncRNA from 1 species
GCCCUCCUUUUUUUUAAUCAGGUUAUCACAUUCUAUCCACUUUAAAAAAGUUUUGUCCUUAAAACUUAGCAUUUCUUAACUCUUUUACAAUUAAGAACACUUAAUCUUCAAUCGGUACUCCACCAUACUUUCAUUGCACUACUUCGAUCUAAAUCAACUCUUCUAUACUCAUCCUUUGCCUAAUCCUAUGAAUCAUAAAUCUACGCUUAAGUUCUAUCAAUGAUUA